rnacentral:lncRNA from 1 species
GAUACCCAGUGUAGGUGUGGUGAGGAGAGUCUUUGGAGCCUGGGGCCCCCUGGGCCCUGGGGAAGGAGGGCCUGCUUGGUAGGUUCCCUGCCAUCGCACAGAUUUCUCAUGAUUUGGUUUGAUGGGACUUCCCUCCCUGUUCUCCCUGCUCUUCCACAAUCUACCCCUGAGCAUCAUGACCAUUUCCGGAGUGGGUUAUGAUUUUUUCGAUAACUUUCCUGUCUAUUUCCUGCCUGUGGGUCCCUGAAACAGAUACCAGGAAAUUCUCAUAGCCUUCAGAGUCUCUGCUUCAUCUCUUCUUCAUUACCCAUUGAGCCUAACAGAACACACGGGGCACAGAGAGACACGAAUGUAUGCUAUAGCUCCCAGCAUUCGUAUAUGGUGAAGGGUGGGGUGGGGUUAUAUUCUUAAUAUUGUCUGAGGGCCAGCAUAACAGAUAUAUGAGCCCAUGUGGCAUCUUAAUAUCUUGUAUGUAGCUGCCAAUUAAGCGUUUACAGUGGGUGCUAUGAAUGUGCAAAAUAGUAUUACAUGUGCCUGGGUGUGUGCGUGUGGGUCAGAGUGUGUGGUAAAUGGCAGUUGAUGUUGAGAGGAAGUAAUUCAGGAGGCAAAGAAUCUGAGGCCCAGAGACAUUACAAAUAGCUUGCCCGAAGUGUCACAGUGGGGAUUCAGGAGCAGGAACUCCAGCGCAGGUGGUCUGGCUCUGGAACAGGUGCUCUCAGGCCCUGUCCAGACUUGGAGUAUUUUGAAGCAUAUCCCAGACUUCAAAUCAUUUUAUCUGUAAAUAUUUCAGUUGUGUUACUAAAAUAUCG